UACGGGGGGGGUAAGCGUUGUUCGGAAUUACUGGGCGUAAAGGGCUCGUAGGCGGCCAACUAAGUCAUACGUGAAAUCCCUCAGCUUAACUGGGGAACUGCGUGUGAUACUGGAUGGCUUGGAUUUGGGAGAGGGAUGCGGAAUUCCAGGUGUAGCGGUGAAAUGCGUAGAUAUCUGGAGGAACACCGGUGGCGAAGGCGGCAUCCUGGACCAAUAUUGACGCUGAGGCGCGAGAGCGUGGGGAGCAAACAGG
rnacentral:rRNA from 1 species